rnacentral:sRNA from 1 species
UUUUGUAUCUGGCUUUUUAGGCCCGGCGACUAAAAAGCUUACUUAAAGGAAGGUUAAGUCAAGAAACGGCCCUAAAGCUUAUUGAUGACUUCGAAGGGGAGCAAGGAGCCCUUCAUUUUGUCUUGAAUGGCACGGAGCAGGAAGUCCAAGAAUACCUGAACAAGGACCCUAACUACACAAAAUCAAUGACCGAUGACGCCCAGUUUGUGGCGUCUGAGCUGGACACUGAGAAUGAAACAACAGUACGACAGUUUGCUUGCAG